rnacentral:misc_RNA from 1 species
UAAAAAAAAAAAAAACCUAGAGAUUUCUGCUAGUAAACAACCUGACAGAGAAUCCAAUAACUUACCGUUUCAAUUAAGAAGAGGAAGAAGUAGGCAUGGAACUCACCUUUUUCAGAAGGCCUUUAAUUUCACACUCCAAUUUGGCUCUCAUUUCGGGAGAGAGAUUAUCUCCCGACUUCUCCAGCAUUGAUGUCAUCAUCUCUAGAUUCUGCCUUAUGAAGUCAAUGGGAGGACCCUCAGCAGGGUUUGGCGUUGGCCCAUAAGACUUUGCAGGUGUCCUCAAACCUUUAGUAGAAUUAGUGGCUCCACCACCUGCAAGGAGAUGAAGUUGGUAAUCGAUGAGGGUUGCACCAAAGGGACUGCUAUUCUCUAAACUCCUAAAUGCUUCUGCAGCAUCAAUACUUUUCACAAAAUCAACUUGGGCAGUACCAGAAUCUUUUGACAACUGUAUUUCUGACUCCCUCAAGGGUCCAAACCUGACAAAU